AUUGAACGCUGGCGGCAGGCCUAACACAUGCAAGUCGAACGAGUGGCGGACGGGUGAGUAAUGCUUGUGAAUCUAGCUGAUGGAGGGGGAUAACUACGGGGAACUGUAGCUAAUACCGCCUACAAUAGGCUGGGCCCAAGUGGGAUUAGGUAGUUGGUGGGGUAAAGGCGUACCAAGCCGACGAUCUCUACCUGGUCUGAGAGGAUGACCAGCCACACUGGGACUUAGACACGGCCCAGGCUCCUACGGGAGGCAGCAGUGGGGAAUAUUGCGCAAUGGGGGAAACCUGACGCAGCCAUGCCGCGUGAAUGAAGAAGGCCUUCGGGUUGUAAAGUUCUUUAGGUAGCGAGGCGUUAACUACAGAAGAAGCACCGGCUAACUCCGUGCCAGCAGCCGCGGUAAUAC
rnacentral:rRNA from 1 species